AAAGUGCGUCCUAUGGAGCGAAAAAUACGGUAAUAAUAAUUAACAACAAUAAAUAAAUAAACAAGGAAUUGUCCCUAUUGCCUAGGGGCAGUCCCAGAUUUAUUUGUUCCAGUUGUGGCAGAAGAUGAUAAUAAAUUUAAAAGUUUCCACCACGUGUGGUGAGUUAUCCUGGACAUCCUUAAAUUUUUAAUGUUUCUCCUUUUCUUCUUCUUGGGCUCUGAUUCCGCCCCCCCCCGGUGAUUUGUUGGUAUGUGAUGAGUCCCAGAUUUACGUAACCUCCAGCAUGAAAAUAGGGAUGUCCUAUUCCAUCAUCAUCAUCACCAUACAUUUAUUAUUUAUAUCCCUGCCCAUCUGGCUUGGUUGCCCCAGCCACCCUGGGUGGCUCACAACAUACCGUACAUAAAAGCAUAAUAAAACAUUUAAAGAACUUCCCAAUAUAGGGCUGCCUUCCUGUCUUCUAAAGGUUUUAUAGGUUACUUAACUGCUUGGCUUGGGGGGUCACAUAACUCCAUACCCUCCAACAGUUCACCAAUGAAAAUAGGGACAUCUGAUGGAAAAGUGGGGCAUUCUGGGAUCAAAUCAGAAACCGGUAUGUCUUCUGUAAAUCUGGUACUGUUUCUGGGUAAUAGGGACACUUGGAGGGUCUGUAAUAAUGACAAUGGUGCCCACCUGAUGCCCACUUGAGAUGUGCUAGAACUGAGUUCCCAUGAGUUCCAGCUUGGAAAAAAAGUCUUGCUACCUACAUAGAAAACUGUAACUGAGGGUGUAAUCGUUGUAAGUAAAUGCAAUUCUUUCCAGCAAGCCUUUAAGCAGGCCCAAGUGUGUGAGAGCUGUAACCAGGCCCACAGAGCCACUUGCUUCCCUGACCCAAACAUGCCUUUAGGGCAGUGCGAGGGGGCGCAGAAUAAUAAUAAUUAAUAAAAACAGAAUUGUCGCGAAAACAAUAAAGCGGUGGGUUUUGUCCUCGCUCAGGGCACCUGCCAUGCGUCCCUCACACUGAAACACCUGUGUCAGACCUGCCUAGAGGUACCUCAUCCAAAACUGUUUUUGUAGCCAUUUCUUUAAAAGUUUGGUACAGCCAAAAUGGGAUGAAAAUGUUUAAACAGGUAUGAUUAAAGGAGGGGGCAGAAUUAUAAGAUCCAAUUUUGCCUGCAAAAGGUCCCCUUGCAAAACAUGUCCAUAGACCAAGGAGCGGGGAUUGGCAUGUCCACAGUAUGUAUGCAUGCACAGUACAAACAUUCAUUAGCUUGUUUGCAAUGUGUGAAACAAUUCAUAGAAUCAUAUGUAGAGUUGGAAGGGACCCAAGGGUCAUCUAGUCCGACCCCCUGCAAGGCAGGAAUCUCAGCUAAAGCUUCCAUGACAGAUAGCCAUCCAACCUCUGCUUAAAAACCUCAAAGGAAGGAGGCCCAAGACCCCAGGGGGAGAAAUCCUAGCCAGAAGUCCAUCAAAAACAAGUGGCCAUUGUGGUAUCAAGCUGUUUGUUCAAUGACAUAUCUUACGAUCCUUUUUUCUUAUUUAUUUUUUAACAGUGUCGGAAGACUCAUGCAUUCCCUUCCCACUUGGAACCGAAUCCAUGGUUGCAUUUGGCUUCUGAAAUCUAUGCAGACUGAGCCAACACUUUUUUUUUACAAAAAAAAAGUGGUCUGAAAGACUAGAAACUUGCUUUAAUAAAAUUAAUCUGCUAAACAUGACACUUCAUGAGCCUGGUAUUGCACAACAAACCCAGCAGGUUAUGGAAUGCAUACAGCUUCAAGCAUGACAGGCCAUAAAGGUAAAUAUUUAGGAAAGCCUAUUUCUGUAUGUUCCAGAUAAAUUGUGAAUCAAGUCAAAAAGUGCCUAGGAUGCUUAUCACACAGUGGGAACCCUUGGAUGAAAGCUGUCAGUGGUAUCUGACAAGCUAAGCUGUCUUCCUCCUGACAAAGUUGAUGUUCUAUUUACCUCAGUAAAAAGAUGGAGUUAAUUCUGAAUGCCUGCCUGGUCUCUCUUCAGCUUUCUGUUGAGAAGAGGGGAGUAGAAUAAGAAAAAAGAAAAUAUGCAUAUAUUAGGAACUGGAGCAAUGCAGACAUUGUGGGGCCAACAAUUAAUUGCAAUGGACAAUCUCCCAUUCUGCCCUUUCUCUACUUGUUCUCCAGUGCCUAAAACAAAUCUAUAGGACAGUUAGAAAGGGCAAGAUGAGUAACUGAAACUUAAUGAUAAUGCUAGUGUUUAUAGGUAUACAACAACCCACUGUCAAGAUUAGUCUGUGGAAACAGACUCUUGCAUAAAGGUUCUUUGCAAAUCUGGGAAAGUAAAUGAGGUAAUGAUUAAAAGAAAUGAUUGGGGGAGGCAGGGGGAUAAGGGGAAAAGCAAAAAGGAGAUGCAAGCAGGAAUGUAUUAAUGCAAAUUAACCUAUUAUAUUUUGUAAGUCUAAGAGAGAACAUCUUGUCCAAUUUCAGUUUUGUUUUGUCUUUCUUCCCUGAUUUGGUCAAUAAUAGGUUUGCAAUUAUGACGGGGAAUGUCCCAGUUGAUUACUUUGGCUUCUUCUAUAUUUUCACUUUUAGAAAUUAAAUAGAUUGGCAUUAUAAUGUCAUUCAGGUAUUACUAAUGAUAUUCAUACUAAUACCAGUAAUUAGUAUGCCACACAUACUAAUACAGAUAAUUAACAAAAUGCAGCUUUUGUGAUAAAAGUCCAGUUGCCUGGAUUCUCUUUUUAGCUUUGUAUUUUCCAAUAACUUAGGAGAUCUCAUAAGCAUAUUUCAUCUCUCCCAUCCCCCAAAAAGAGAAUUUUAUUGGAGUUUGAGCUUGGUGAUUUGCUUUGACAAAUAAUGGAAAGGGGAAACACCCUUUUAUGAGUUACAACAUACAUACAUAAAAAUACAUGCAUACAAUCAAAUCCAGCCUGAAAAUUGCUCAGAAACCAAGAGUUAGAGCUGUUCUGUGUUUCCAAUAUGUUUUCUGUCUCCUGUUUGGCUGUCCUGAGUAAUUGUCACAUACAGCUGUCAUACAAAGAGCAGUGUUGUUAACUGGGCAGGUUCCCAGUCACUUCCUAUUUGCAAUGCUCUGAUGCUUACAUUGCUAUGCACUCUUGUCACAGUAUUUCUUCUGUCAUUGCAUCUCCAUAGAUAAGCCUUUUGUAAUAAUGACUUAAGGGCUAUUUGUCUCUUUCCAAGGCUCAGGCCUAGUGAUCCUGUUAAACCAUUGAGAAGAGUAUUGCAAUAUUAACAAAGCAAAGUAUGACAUAUUUGAAUUGGCCGAUUUCCCCGUUCCAUGCAUUUUUAAAACAAGACAUCUUUCCCACUUCUGCCAGCAACUCUGUCAGUCCAUUUUAAGGCACGUUGAGUCAACGGCGAAUUGUUUUGUCAUUUUAUAUGGAUGUCCACCCCACGCCAAAGACUCAGAUAGGGAACAAAGGAAAACAAUGAAGUUCCAUCACAUUCACUGAAAAUUCACCAGCCCGCACAAGUAGGUCUUGUAAGACUUCCCAACGGUGCUUAAGCCUGUAUUUCGGCAGGUCUGUAGCGGGACGGCCUUGUUGUCUGAACCUGAUGCACACCAAUGUAUUGGUACAGAAUGCUCCGAACAAAAAGACCCCUUGAUUUGCAAGUUAAUCGAGUGGGAACUGAGCAUUUUGGAAAAGGCAAAGUAAGGUUGGGAAAUCCUCUAAGAAGAGGGGUUGGUUUAAUAAACUAUAUCACCCUCAGCAUAACCAAGCACUGUGUCCAGUGUUGGCAUUAUUAUGCAGCCUGGAUGAUGCUACAUCUAAGUUGUUACCUCCUGCAAGCAUCCUCUAGUCACAGCGGUUCUCAACCUGUGGGUCCCCAGAUGUUGUUGGACUACAACUCCCAUCAUCCCUGAGCUCUGGCCUUGCUAGCUAGGGGUGAUGGGAGUUGUAGUUCAACAACAUCUGUGGACCCACAGGUUGAGAAAGGCUGCUAGUGCUUCCACACUUCUUGGAAAGAACUUGUCUGCCUUGAACAUGUAUGUGUGGAGCAGAAUAGGAGUAUUCUGAGCAUCAGGUAGAGUUGGGGUGAAUACAGAGAUGUGAGGACUGGGGAAAGCUACUUUCCCUCCUGUUCCCUGACCCAACAACAUUCUAGAAUUAAUAAAGAACUAAUGGACAUACCAAGAAAUCUGGGUCACCUGCGUCUCCACUAUACAUUCUUGAGAAAAGGAGCAAUAAGAGGACACUAGAGAAAAGAAAAAUAAAGACAGCUAUUAUUGCCUGUUGAGUAGUUUUAGACUUUGUAUUUAAGGGGUCACCCUCUUUAGAUGGUGUGUAUGACUCCACUUCCUUCAAAAUGUGCUACGCCACCCUUGCAGCGUUUAGUAACUCCUCAUUCUGCUGAGCUGGGAUCUGGACUUCUGCCCGAAAGCUCUACUCAAAUGGUACCACAGGUUUCCAAGGGAUUCCUCUGUUGCCUGCUGUCCCAUGCUCCUUCCCCAGAAUAAGGCUUUUGUGGCUGGGGAAGGACACUAGCAGGAAAUGGGAAGCACUGGCCAAGGAGCGUGUUGUAAAUGUUCAUACUGAACAAUUUUACUGCCUUAUGGUUGCUUUGAAGAAGGCAUGGUGAACCGAGCCUCUGCUACCUCUCCCCCCAAUGGGCUAUUGGCAGAUUCCAAGACCACGGCUACUGUUUUCUUCAUGUACCCCUCUUGCUUCUGGGAUGGCAACUGUGGGGCAGAGCUGUCUCUCUCAAGGGCCACUGGUGACUGAUCAUUGUUUGGAGUGUGGAAUAAUUCCUUCUGGAAACGUUUCAGAGUCUGUUCUGAAGGCUGGUUUGGGAAACCUGUGAACUUAACCUGGUUCACACUUUCUGAAACAAUACAUGAGAUACAGCCAAGUAAUGUAUGCAAAACAUUUCUGCUCAGCAGAAAUUCCUAUGAUGCUCUUCACACGUCUUCAGCACCCACAUCCAGUUAGAAGCACAGGAAUUCCUUGUGAGUUAAUAGCCUUGUAUUUUCAAUAUCUUUGUGAGCGGCAAAUUGUUUGGCAAGCUAAUCCCCAGGAGGCAGUGGUCCACACAGAGCAAAGCAUUAAGGUCCUUCUCACUGGUAGAUGCCCUGGCUUGAUAUAGGCAGUGCCAUUAUUGGAGAAAGUGACUUUCUCUUUAAGGAGGUCACUUCCCAGCAAAAUAGUCUCUUACCUUUUCUGGCAUCCUUUGGCCAGGUUUGGCCCUCUGGAGACACUUUUAUCUGUUUUUGGGUGGACUGACUAGGUUUCAAUAAAGAUGUAGUUAGAAGCCUCUUCUAGCCUCCAAAUCGCCUUCUGGAGAAUAGGCUGGUCCCUGGGAAUAUUAUCUUUGCUGUUAUAUCUGUUAGUAAAAUAGUUUCAGUAAACCGCUUAGAAGUUUUACUCUUUAAGCAGCAUACGAAUUAUGUCAAAUAACAAUGUAUUGUUUUAGUAAAAAUAAUAUAAAUAUUCAGAUCAUGCUUUGAAAUAUACCCACAAAUGUUCUUAUUACCAGGACUCAUAUAUGUGUACCUUAUUUCCUGGUGAUAAUAUAUGUUCUAUAUGAAACGUUUCUCGUAAUCUCUUUAAGAUUACAGCAGAUGUGUCACUUUACUUUCUAACCGAGGUGCACAGAGAAUGAAGCUAAGGAGGACUGGCAAGUCUGUUCUUGUGGCCCCUUUGAUCCUUUUUUCUCCUAGAAAAAAUCUUGGGAAAAACCAAGCGCUAAGAAGAAUCACAGCGAAAAUGUCCCAUUCCUCUCUCUAAUUGUAAAAUGCAUGUAUAUAUUAAUUAGAGCAAGAAGAAUGAAACUUGCCAAAGGCUGAUGCAGAUUUCAGCACCUUUGGUAAUUUAUCACUGAACUCCACUGGAUGGUUUUAGUCCCUGUGUGCUGUGUUUUUUAAAACCCUGUCUGGGGGAACAGGGGCAAAUGCAUUUUAUUUUCAUUUCCUCUUAAAUCUCCUCCCGUCAUUUCACGGUGGGAAUAUGGGUGUGGAUCUCUCCAUCUGACCACUUGUCAAACAUUUCAGACGCCUGUGUCGCUAAUUUGAACCACCAGCAGGUUAAGGGAAACAAAAAAGAACAAAGUGUGCUGUGUACCAGCGAUAAAACUCUCUAGACCAGCAGCAUGUUUGUCAAAAAAAAAAGUUCGGCUGUUUCUCAAGCUCCUUGCAAUGCGAGGGCUACUUUCUCUCUCCAUCCUGCGUCAUCAUAGAAAUAAGGAAAAGUUUGCUUUUCUCCUCAAAUGUUGGUUUUUGUUUUGUUUUGUUUGCAGCUGAUAAAGAGCUGUUCUAAUUCUUCUUGCCAUCGCUUUUCCUUUACAAAGAUAAGCAUACGAUGGGUUUCUAACCCACAAAUAGCCUGGACAAAAAGGCAGUCUUAUGAUAAUGAAAGUCUAAUUCAUUCCUGACCCUUUUAGCAUGAGUUGAGGUGGUUGUAUAGAAGCCCCACCGUGAGAAAUUUUGCUAGGGCGAAUGAAUCUUUUUUUGCAUCUGAAAUUCUGCCCAUGCUUUUUCGAAUGCCAGUGGAGGAAUAUCAAGUUGCCCUGAAAUUUCACUUCAAGUGAAACUGGAAGGAAAACGGUAUUGUCAAAAAUGAAUGCAAAUUGGUAUUUAAGGUUCUGCUGUAGUAAAACAAAGACACAUCAAUCCCUGGCAGAAAUGGAUGAGUAAUUGUCUGCUGAUUUGGGCAGCUGGGUCAAGAAUUAUAGACCAAGCAAGACAUUGCCACUUCUUGGGCCAACUGCUCUUUCAUGUUAGUGCAGGCAAACUUUGGGGUUAUGCAGAGCUCUUCCUCUUCAUUGCUUUCUCCAGCUCUUCUUGGGAAUCCAGGUAGUACAAUGGCUAAGAACGAGAGCUGUUACUGAGCCUAAAAGCCUUCCAUUCAAAUCUUACUUCAGCCACAAACAUCUUUCUGCAUCAGUCCCACGGCUGCAAUACUUAGACACUGGCCUACCUUAUCAGGUUGUUCUAAGACAGGGCUCCUCAACCUUUUUGGGCCCGGAAACAUUUGCAAAUUUCUUUUAAUUAACAGAAUUUGUGCACCUCUAAGCCUCUAAACGGUUAACAAAAGAAUUUAAAAAUAGAUUAAAAUAGUCAAAAACCGACACUAAAAAUAGGUUUAUAAAAAGGCAAAAGAAUAAAAUCAAAAGUAUACGUGAUAAGCUAAAAUUACAGAUUAAAGUAUACAUCAACUUUACAUGUCAGGUUAAACUUUUGUGGGCACUGCAAAAUACCCAUUUCACAUAAGAAAAACUGCUGAUGCUCAAGACUCCUCCCCCUACAAACAGGCAAAACACCGACACACCCCAAAACUAAUAAAACAGACCAAAGAAAGUCAACCCAGCUGCCAAACAAUCCCUGCAAAGCUGUUAUUCAUUCAUUUUAAAGAUAAAAUAUGGUAGAGGCAGGGUGCCUGAGGGUGCCACAUUGGUGACUGCAGGAGUAAGGGAAUAAUGAUACAAAUCAAGUUAAGCACCUUUCAAUUUCAUUGAUUUCAGCUAAAAAAAGUAAGCGCAUGCUGUAUCACAUAUAAAUAAAUAUAUUUUAUUUAUAUCCUGCCCUCCCCAGCUGAAGCUGGGCUCAGAGCAGCUAACAACAGUAAAAAUAACUCAGUUUACAUAAAAUCACAAUCAAUUAAUUGAAAUACAUUCUAAAACCAAUUCAUUCCAAAAUCAAUUCAGAGUCAAAUUAAUGGCAUACAUGCUUUUGGCCUGAUCAUAUCCACAUAUUAUACGUAGCAUUUAAGAACUAUGUAAAUGCUAAGUAUUAUUCCGCAUUUGGCUUAAAUAGCAAAAAUAAAAGCUCUGCCAACUGAUGAACCUAAGAGUCGGCCCCAUUGAACACAGCAGGAUUUAACUCUGAAACAAACGUAGAUAGGAUUCUGCUGCGUAUGUUGCAGGGCUGCAUUUGCUGCGUUUUAGGAGGUUGUUUGAAACUUUGAAACUCCUGCGUUAAAAUUUGUGCAGGCCCCAACAAUCGCCUUCAUUACUACAGUGCUAAAGUGGCUUGGACUGAUCUGUUGAUUAUUAUCAAUGAUGACAGAAAGGUCUGCUGCAAAGUUGCUAAGAAUUGCAGUUUUGGUGUGACACUCUCGGUGAGUUUAAGGCAUUGUGGUGCAUCCAUAUAUCCACGGUGAGGAAUGGGGCUGACCUCACUGGUGACAAUGGCAUCCCAUACACAAACCAUAUGAAAUCAAGAAGUCGCCUGAUAAGUGGGCAGGUAUUUGUGGAUCCAAUGUUAGGCUAGCCAUUGGAAUGUCUUCAUGGGCUAGACUAAAAGCCUUUAAGCCACAAAGCAGCCACAGUGAUUCUAAUGACUGCCCUCAUGAAUGGGGCGAGAAUAGGCUUUAGACUCCCAGCUCAGGACACAGGCUCAUUUGACUGCCAAAAAAACAGCUGGGGAGGCUUAGGCACUCCCAGCAAAAGAAGCUGGCCGGGUGCGAGCUAACCAAUGAGCCUGUUCUUCUCUGCAGCUCUGAAAGCAUGGGGCAGCCAAUUCAAACCCCAGUCACUUUUCCAAUAAUAAAUUGCUUGUUACAAAAGUUGGGUGCCUUCCCCAAUCUCUGCAAGAUUCCUGGGGGUUCCAGGCACUCACCCCGGACUUGUGUUACUUUGGAGAAUUGAGGCACAGCAGAGACUGUUGUAGCUUUAAGAAAGAUGGUUUAUUCCCCUAUUUACACCUUCAGUUUGCAUGGAAGGAGUCCAAAUCUUACAGCAUGGCUCUUUCAAGAGCGCCUUGUACCCCCACAGCAGUGCAGCCAGCCUUCAGCUAGCCUGCCCAAGAUGAUGGCAAUGGUGAUUAUAUUUAUACCCCACCCAUCUGGCUGCGUUUCCCCAGCCACUCCAGGUGGAUCCCAGCAGAAUAGUAAAGACAGGAUUGUUAUGUUGAGAGUGAACAUAUCAGACGACAGAGUGGUUCUUCAAACAGCUCUUCUUUACUCACAGGCCAGAACAGAACUGAACUGAAGGGUUCAGCCAGCCUGCUUAUAUAGAGCUCCACUACAACACAACUGUAACAACUUUCUGUAACUAUCCAAUCACUGAAUGUCACUUUCAAUCCCUUAUUUGCAUAUGUGGACAUCUACAGUAUCCCCCUGCUGGCCCAGGGUGAGAACUUCAGUACAUAACAAGGAUAAAACAUCAAACACUAAAAACUUCCCUAAACAGAUGUCUUCUAAAAGUCAGAUAGUUGUUUAUUUCCUUGACAUCUGAAGGGAGGGCAUUCCACAUGGCGGGUGCCACUACCGAGAAGGCCCUCUGCCUGGUUCCCUGUAGCUUCACUUCUUGCAGUGAGGGAACCGCCAGAAACCCUCAGAGGAGGACCUCAAUGUCCGGGCUGAGCGAUGGGGGUGGAGAUGCUCCUUUAGAUAUACUGGUCCGAGGCCGUUUAGGGCGUUCAGCACCAACACUUUGAAUUGUGCUCGGAAACGUACUGGGAGCCAAUGAAUAUCCAUUAGGUCUAGGACAUGUUAAAUCAGAGGUCAGCAAACUUUUUUAGAAGAGGGCCAGUCCACUGUCUCUCAGACCUUGUGGGGGGCCGGAUUAUAUUGGGGGGGGGGGAUGAACGAAUUCCUAUGCCCCACAAAUAACCCAGAGAUGCAUUUUAAAUAAAAGGACACAUUCUACUCAUGUAAAAACACACUGAUUCCUGAACCGUCCGUGGGCCAGAUUUAGAAGGCGACAGGGCCGGAUCCGGUCCCCAGACCUUAGUUUGCCUACCCAUGUGUUAAAUGGUCCCGGCAGUCACUCCCUUUCACCAAUCUAGCUGCCGCAUUCUGGAUUAGUUGUAGUUUCCGCGUCACCUUCAAAGGUAGCCCCACGUAGGGCACUUCUCCUCUUCCCCAAACCCCUUGCUACCAGACUCCCUUUUCCUGUCACCUCACAACCCCCCAAUCUUCCAAACCCCCCUGCCUCUGUUCACACCUCAAGGCAGAGGGCAAAGGACAGUUCUCUUGCAUUGCCAGCGGCUCUCAAUGGUCUUGUAUUGUUUCUUAACGGCCCUGGCUUGGCAAGGUCAUUUUGCAUAAGCUAGCCCAGGGAAUCCUACAGCUUGUAUCUCUCCCUUCACAUCCCAAAUGAUCAAAAUCCUACCAGUUAUUAAUUUCUAGGGGUUUGGGGGUGUAUCCCACAAAUCUAUAACAAGACUUACUGAAACGAAGUGACUAGUUCCCAAGACAUAAAGGUAAAGGGCGCCCUGACCAUUAGGUCCUGUCAUGACCGACUCUGGGGUUGUGGCGCUCAUCGUGCUUUAUUGGCUGACAGAGCCGGCGUACAGCUUCCAGGCCAUGUGGUCAGCAUGACAAAGCCGCUUCUGGCAAACCAGAGCAGCGCACGGAAACGCCUUUACCUUCCCACCGGAGCGGUACCUAUUUAUCUACUUGCAGUUUGACGUGCUUUCAAACUGCUAGGUUGGCAGGAGCAGGGACCGAGCAAUGGGAGCUCACCCUGUCGCAGGGAUUCGAACUGCCGACCUUCUGAUCGGCAAGUCCUAGGCUCUGUGGUUUAACCCACAGCGCCACCCGCAUCCCUAGUUCCUGCGAUAUACAGAGGGACAAAACUGCUUGUUUGAAAAGUGUCUUAACCUAAUGAGCUGAUCGUGCCUUUGGUUAAACUCACUUGCAUGGAGUGUGUGUCUGUGUGUGCUUGUGACACUAUGCAGUGGGAAGCCAUCCUUUUCUGCUAUGUGCAUGACCAUGGGUAUAGCUGGGGAGGGGCAACUGCCCCCCCCCUAAAGUAAAACAAUAGAAAUACUUAACUAACUGACCAAUCACAUCGGUUCUGCCCCCUCUAACAAAAGUCCUGCACCCCCCCCCAACAAAAAUCCUGGCUAUACCCAUGUGCCAUGAAGAUCAUGGCCACUGGUCCCAUCACCUCCUGGCAAAUAGAAGGGGAAGAAAUGGAGGCAGUGAGAGAUUUUACUUUCUUGGGCUCCAUGAUCACUGCAGAUGGUGACAGCAGUCACGAAAUUAAAAGACACCUGCUCCUUGGGAGAAAGGCGAUGGCAAACCUAGACAGCAUCUUAAAAAGCAGAGACAUCACCUUGCCAACAAAGGUCCGUAGAGUUAAAGCUAUGGUUUUCCCAGUAGUGAUGUAUGGAAGUGAGAGCUGGACCAUCAAGAAGGCUGAUCGCCGAAGAAUUGAUGCUUUUGAAUUAUGGUGCUGGAGGAGACUCUUGAGAGUCCCAUGGACUGCAAUAAGAUCAAACGUAUCCAUUCUUAAGGAAAUCAGCCCUGAGUGCUCACUGGAAGGACAGAUCGUGAAGUUGAGGCUCCAAUACUUUGGCCACCUCAUGAGAAGAGAAGACUCCGUGGAAAAGACCCUGAUGUUGGGAAAGAUGGAGGGCACAAGGAGAAGGGGACGACAGAGGACGAGAUGGUUGGACAGGGUUCUUGAAGCGACAAACAUGAGUCUGACCAAGCUGCGGGAGGCACUGGAAGACAGGAGUGCCUGGCAUGCUCUGGUCCAUGGGGUCACGAAGAGUCGGACACGACUAAACGACUAAACAAGAACAACAACAUACCCAUGUGCAUGACCCAUGGCAAGCCUUAACCUCACCCACUCCCUUCUCCUAGGUGACACUGGAUGGCUGAUCUGAUUCUAAUGGACGUUAUGCACACACCCAGAUCUGCUUCCUUCCUUCUUUUGGGGGGAUAGUUUAUCAUAAAAGAGGCCACCAAGCUCUUCCUCUGCACCAGCCAUGAGCAAGCUUUUAGUUUACACCUUCCCUGACCCCCUCUUCCUUUACUAUGUGACUGAGAAAGAAACUGGAGGCACACACUUCUUUUUAAAAAUAAUAAUGCUUUAUUAUUCAUUUUCCAUAUAUAUACACAACACGUAGUCAUCUUCAUUUUGAUCAAUCCAGUAAUAAUAUCACAAGAGACACAUACAGUUUCAACUAUGUGCUUUCUACAUGAAUCUAUGACUUCCCACCGUCUCCAUGUUUCCUUUAUAUUAAACAUCUUGCUUUACUUAGUUUUACUUAUAGUUUAAAGUCAGUCGCCGCCAUGGGUGUAGCCAGGUGUUUUAGGGGGGCAGAAUAUUAGUUAACAAUGUAUUUUUAUUGAUGAUUGGGGGGAGCAGCUGCUACACACUACCCGCUACACACACGAUCACCGCUUCUUGUUAUAGUUUAAAAUCUAGCACAGUCGUACCUUGCAAGUCGAAUGGAAUCCGUUCCGGAAGUCCGUUCGACUUCCAAAACGUUCAGAAACAAAAGCAUGGCUUCUGAUUGGCUGUAGGAAGCUCCUGCAGCCAUUCGGAAGCCCCAUUGGACAUUCGGCUUCCAAAAAUAGUUCAUAAAUUAGAACAGUCACUUCCAGAUUUGCCAUGUUUGGGAGCCAAAAUGUUUGAGAACUAACCAGUUCGAAAACCAAGGUACAGCUGUAGUUCGAACUAGCCAGGAUCAGAUUGUGCUUUAGAAAGUUGGCUUGGUUAUGACUAAGAGUUUCAGCGAACCGAUGGUCCCCGAGUUGUUGUUUUUCUUCCAUUAGGGAGCUCUUUAAAUGCAACAGGAUUCUAGUUUAGAAGUAAGGAAGCUAGUAAAAGUAAUUGGAUAUUGCCAUCCAGUGCUCAGUUUGUGUCAUUGCAACUAAUGCUUAAUAAAAGAUUGGUAAGGUGAUUUCCAUACCACAAUGGUGCCUCUGAGGGCUCAGCCGCACUCCUGCUUUCCCAGUGCCUAGAAAGCACAAUUCCAAGUGGUUUUUUGUUCAUCCGGUGCUUUCUAGGCACAGAUGUGAGCAGUUUGCCCCUCCGCUUUCCCCUGGAAAACCCACCCUUUAGCUAUAAACUGGAGCAAACAUCAGUGUGGAGAAAAUAUUAUUGAUGUUUGCGCUGAUUCUGCAGUAAACAGCGGGUUUUCAGGGGGGGUAUAGGGCAAGCAGAAGCAUGGAUGAACCUAGUCAAUGCCAAAUUUGGGUUCUGUGCAGCACAUAAUUUAUUUCCCUAAAGCAUUUUUCCAGCUAAUUGUAUUACAUAAAACUCAUAAAAGCAAGAGAGUCCAUAAAGGUAAAGGGACCCCGACCAUUAGGUCCAGUCAUGACCGACUCUAGGGUUGCGGCGCUCAUCUCGCUUUACUGGCCAGGUACAGCUUCCAGGUCAUGUGGCCAGCAUGACUAAGCUGCUCCGGCGAACCAGAGCAGCGCACGGAAACGCCGUUUACCUUCCCGCUGGAGCGGUACCUAUUUAUCUACUUGCACUUUGACGUGCUUUCAAACUGCUAGGUUGGCAGGAGCAGGGACCGAGCAACGGGAGCUCAUCCCGUCACGGGGAUUCGAACCGCCAACCUUCUGAUUGGCAAGUCCUAGGCUCUGUGGUCCUAGGCUCAAGAGAGUUCUUACCUAUAGGCUUAUAACCUAAAGGAUGUGGCAGAAAAGGAAGAAGGUGUGAGGAUAGAGGAGGAAAAGGAGGAAACACAGGCAGCAUAUUAAAAAGUGAUAUAGUAUUUCUUAUAAUGGCCGGUGGGAAUGGAGAGUGUUUAGGGAGAGGAGGAACCAAAUACAGCGGUACCUCAGGUUAAGUACUUAAUUCGUUCCAGAGGUCCGUACUUAACCUGAAACUGUUCUUAACCUGAAGCACCACUUUAGCUAAUGGGGCCUCCUGCUGCUGCUGCACCGCCGGAGCACGAUUCCUGUUCUCAUCCUGAAGCAAAGUUCUUAACCUGAGGUAAUAUUUCUGGGUUAGCGGAGUCUGUAACCUGAAGCAUAUGUAACCCAAGGUACCACUGUACAGGUGAUCUCUGAGCUGAGCAGAUGGAAGUAAAUGUGCCCCUAAAGGACCAGGUGUGCAGCCUGGGAGUCAUUUUGGACUCAUGGCUGUCCAUGGCGGCACAGGUGAAUUCUGUAUCCAGGGUACAACAGCUGAAUCCCUGCUUGACUGCACUCUGUCUCACCAGAGUGGUACAUGAUGUGGUUAUCUCUUGUUUGAACUACUGAAAUGUGUUCUAUGUGAAGCUACCUUUGAAGGUGACUCAGAAACUACAACUAAUCCAGAACGCAGACUGAUGACUGGGAGUGGCUGCCAGGACACUCGUCCUAAAGGAUCUACACUGGCUCCCAGUACAUUUCCAAGCACAAUUCAAAGUGUUUGUGCUGACCUUUAAAACCUUAAAUGACCUUGGCCCUGUAUACUCCAUCCCCAUCAUCCCACACUGAGGUCCAGGUUUGAGGGUCUUCUGGCGGUUCCCUCACUGAGAAGUGAGGUUACAGGGAACCAGGCAGAGGGCCUUCUCAAUAGUUCCCUGUGGAAUGCCCUCCCGUCAGAUGUCAAGAAAAUAAACAACUACCUGACUUCUGUUUUAACUGUGUAUUGAUAAAAUGUACUUUUUUUCUGACUGACGGUCGAAUAAAAAUGAUGAUGAACUACCUGACUUUUAGAAGACAUCUGAAGGCACCCCUGUACAGGGAGGUUUUUAAUGGUGUUUUAAUAGUGAGGUUUUUUUGUGUUUUAAUAUUUUGUUGGAAGCCGUCCUGAGCGGCUGGGGCAACCCAGGCAGAUGGGUAGCAUAUAAAUAAUAAAAUCAGUGGUAUUUUUCUAGAAAAAGAGGUGCUGGAACACACCACGAACGCCUCCCUCAUUCUCUUAGAAUUGCAGUGGUAUCCACCUGAGAGGUACCAGAACUAAGUUCCACUGAGAUACAGCUGAAAAAAGCCCUGAAAAUAAAAUAAUAAUAAUAAUAAUAAUUAGUAAUAAUGAUGAUGUCCCUGAUCUAGUUAGUACAUCUGUUUUUAAUGUGAAGCUAUCAUCCAUCAUCCAUCCAUUGACAUCCUGGGCAUCAGUGAACUAAAAUGGACGGGAAUGGGCGAAUUCAGUUUGGAUGACUAUCAUAUCUACUACUGUGGGCAAGAAACCCGUAAAAGAAAUGGAGUGGCCCUCAUAGUCAACAAAAGAGUGGUGAAAGCUGUACUGGGAUGCAAUCUCAAAAAUGAUAGAAUGAUCUCGAUACGAAUCCAAGGCAGACCUUUUAAUAUCACAGUAAUCCAAGUUUAUGCACCAACUACUGGUGCUGAAGAAACUGAAAUUGACCAAUUCUAUGAAGACUUACAAGACCUUAUAGAAGUGACACCAAAGAAGGAUGUUCUUCUCAUUAUAGGGGAUUGGAAUGCUAAAGUAGGGAAUCAAGAGAUAAAAGGAACAACUGGCAAGUUUGGCCUUGGAGAUCAAAACGAAGCAGCGCAAAGGCUAAUAGAGUUCUGUCAAGAGAACAAGCUGGUCAUCACAAACAAUCUUUUCCAACAACACAAGAGACGACUCUACACAUGGACAUCACCAGAUGGGCAGCAUCGAAAUCAGAUUGAUUAUAUUCUCUGCAGCCAAAGAUGGAGAAGCUCUAUGCAGUCAGCAAAAACAAGACCUGGAGCUGACUGUGGCUCAGAUCAUCAGCUUCUUAUAGCAAAAUUCAAGCUUAAACUGAAGAAAGUAGGAAAAACCACUGGACCGGUAAGAUACAGUCUAAACCAAAUCCCUUAUGAAUACACAGUGGAAGUGAGGAACAGGUUUAAGGAUUUAGGUUUGCUGGACAGAGUGCCUGAAGAACUAUGGAUGGAGGCUCGCAACAUUAUACAGGAGGCAGCAAUGAAAACCAUCCCAAUGAAAAGGAAAUGCAAGAAAGCAAAGUGGCUGUCCAACGAGGCCUUACAAAUAGCGGGGGAGAGAAGGCAAGCAAAAUGUGAGGGAGAUAGUGAAAGAUACAGGAAAUUGAAUGCAGAUUUCCAAAGAAUAGCAAGGAGAGACAAGAAGGCCUUCUUAAAUGAGCAAUGCAAAGAAAUAGAGGAAAACAACAGAAUGGGAAGAACCAGAGAUCUGUUCAAGAAAAUCGGAAAUAUGAAAGGAACAUUUCGUACAAAGAUUACCAUAAUAAAGGACAAAAGUGGUAAGGACCUAACAGAAGCAGAAGACAUCAAGAAGAGGUGGCAAGAAUACACAGAGGAAUUAUACCAGAAAGAUAUGGAUGACUUGUACACCCCAUGUAGUGUGGUUGCUGACCUUGAGCCAGACAUACUGGAGAGUGAAGUCAAAUGGGCCUUAGAAAGCACUGCUAAUAACAAGGCCAGUGGAAGUGAUGAUAUUCCAGCUGAGCUAUUUUAAAUUUUAAACGAUGAUGCUGUUAAGGUGCUACACUCAAUAUGCCAGCAAAUUUGGAAAACUCAGCAGUGGCCAGAGGAUUGGAGAAGAUCAGUCUACAUCCCAAUCCCCAAGAAGGGCAGUGCCAAAGAAUGCUCCAACUACCGCACAAUUGCACUCAUUUCACACGCUAGCAAGGUUAUGCUUAAAAUUCUACAAGGCAGGCUUAAGCAGUAUGUGGACCGAGAACUCCCAGAAGUGCAAGCUGGAUUUCGAAGGGGCAGAGGAACCAGAGACCAAAUUGCAAACAUGCGCUGGAUUAUGGAGAAAGCUAGAGAGUUCCAGAAAGACAUCUACUUCUGCUUCAUUGACUAUGCAAAAGCCUUUGACUGUGUCGACCACAGCAAACUAUGGCAAGUUCUUAAAGAAAUGGGAGUGCCUGAUCACCUCAUCUGUCUCCUGAGAAAUCUCUAUGUGGGACAAGAAGCUACAGUUAGAACUGGAUAUGGAACAACUGAUUGGUUCAAAAUUGGGAAAGGAGUAUGACAAGGCUGUAUAUUGUCUCCCUGCUUAUUUAACUUAUAUGCAGAAUUCAUCAUGCGAAAGGCUGGGCUGGAUGAAUCCCAAGUUGGAAUUAAGAUCGCCGGAAGAAAUAUCAACAACCUCAGAUAUGCAAAUGACACAACCUUGAUGGUGGAAAGUGAGGAGGAAUUAAAGAACCUUUUAAUGAGGGUGAAAGAGGAGAGUGCAAAAUAUGGUCUGAAGCUCAACAUCAAAAAAACGAAGAUCAUGGCCACUGGUCCCAUCACCUCCUGGCAAAUAGAAGGGGAAGAAUUGGAGGCAGUGAGAGAUUUUACUUUCUUGGGCUCCUUGAUCUCUGCAGAUGGUGACAGCAGUCACGAAAUUAAAAGACGCCUCGCUCCUUGGGAGAAAGGCGAUGGCAAACCUAGACAGCAUAUUAAAAAGCAGAGACAUCACCUUGCCAACAAAGGUCUGUAUAGUUAAAGCCAUGGUUUGCCCAGUAGAGAUGUAUGGAAGUGAGAGCUGGACCAUCAAGAAGGCUGAUCGCCGAAGAAUUGAUGCUUUUGAAUUAUGGUGCUGGAGGAGACUCUUGAGAGUCCCAUGGACUGCAAGAAGAUCAAACGCAUCCAUUCUUAAGGAAAUUAGCCCUGGGUGCUCACUGGAAGGACAGAUCAUGAAGCUGAGGCUCCAAUACUUCUCAUGAGAAGAGAAGACUCCGUGGAAAAGACCCUGAUGUUGGGAAAGAUGGAGGGCACAAGGAGAAGGGGACGACAGAGGACGAGAUGGCUGGACAGUGUUCUUGAAGCUACCAGCAUGAGUUUGACCAAACUGUGGUCAAGGCAGUGGAAGACAGGAGUGCCUGGCGUGCUCUGGUCCAUGGGGUCACGAAGAGUUGGACACGACUAAACGACUAAACAACAACAACAUCAUCCAUCAGAAGAAUAGGCUACCUCUUAGCACCAAACGCAGCUUCUCAACUUGCCAGUGCUGACACAAUGCCACUUUUGCUCAGCUUCCUGUGAAGCACUUCAGUCAUUCUUCUGCUAAUCAGCAUUUAGUUCAGCAAAGAGUAAGCCUUCAUUUUCACAGAUAUGUUUUCUUUUAGCUUGUAAUCAAAGCUUCGGUUGCGUCGCCUUCAAAAGCCAAUUACCAACUAAUGAGGGAGCACUUACAAAUUAUUUCGUUGUCAAAAACAAUUUGGUUUCGGCUUAACACCAAACCUUGCUUGACAAGGUGCAGCAGCCCAGGUAGGAUAAGGCUGCUCCAGUGCCAGAAACUGAACACCACUGGAUUCCAGUUUUUUGGGGGGGCACAAGUGGGGAGAUCUCUGUGAUGCUCAGUUCCUGUUUGUGGGUUUCCCAGAGGCACCUAGUUUGCUACCAUGAGAACAGGAAGCCGGACUAGAUGGUCCAUAGCUCAGUGACAGAGCAUCUGCGAGCAGAAGGUGUGAGGUUCAGUGCCCAGUGUCUCCAGGUGAGGCCCUGUCUGAAAUCCUGGAGUGCCACUGGCAGUCAGUGCAGACAGCACCAAGCUAGUUGGGUCAAUAGUCUGCCUUGGUUUAAUGCAGCUUCCUAUGGCAAACUGAAUCACAAAACUGAAAGAAGCGCACGUUUCCACAGAUAGCUGUACUUUAUUCAUCUAUCAGUUUGGGAGAGCGGUAUCACAUGACUUGCUUCCAGACCUGUGAUCGUGUAUCAAGGAGGUUUAUAUUGGGGGGGUGUGUAUGUGAAUUCCAAGGCCCCACCAAUAACCCAGAGAUGCAUUUUAAAUAAAAGCACACGUUCUGUUCUACUCAUGUAAAAACACCAGGCAGGGCCCACAAAUAACCUAGAGAUGCAUUUUAAAUAAAAGGACACAUUCUACUCAUGUAAAAACACGCUGAUUCCUGGACCGUCCACAGGCCAGUUUUAGAAGGCAAUUGGGCCGGAUCUGGCCCCCGGGCCUUAGUUUGCCUACCCAUGAUUGUGAUCUACUUUCAGAAUUAACAUCUGCCAGUGAUCUACCCUCAUUUUUUAGGGGUUCAGGUCAAAGUUGUUGAGCUUUUCUGGGAGGUGUUUGUUGGGGUUCCAUGGGGGGGGAUUUUAAGGGGGAAGGGGAUUAGUCGCUCACAAAAACAGCGUUGUGAAAGCAUUUUGCCUCACAUCAAAAACUCUGUCUUCUGUUACAGGCAGGUGAGAGGGGCUGGGGCCAGGUGCUCUUAGGCAAAAGCAAAGGAAAAUGAGCACGCGAUCGACAGCGAUCGACUGCAACCUCCCGGGGAUCGACCAGUCGAUCCCGAUCGACCUGUUGGACAUCCCCUGAUCUAGUGGAAGAGAGAGGCCGCUUGAACCAGUCAGACCCAGUUUCUUUGAAAGAAGCAGUAUGGAGAGGAUUCUGUAACAAGGAAAUUCUUGUGCCUUCCCCAUAAGGCCAGCAUGGUUUCACCCAGGAUAUCUUUCCAUCGACUAAAGUAACUUUCUUUGGAACUCGCCAUCUAUUCCUUGAACAGAGGCAGAUUUAGGGAAGGACGACUGGUUUGGUAGAAUGGACUGUUGUAGGAUGGAAGGCAAGGGGGGAGGGGCACCAAAUUUGGGCGUCACACAGGGCACUGCCGAAAUUUGAGACCCCCCCAAGGUCCACCACUUCCAUGAACUUCUCUUGAGUUCUUUGGCUGCAUCAGGUUUGUGUGUACUCUGCAUGCGUUAAGAGCCACGCUUGCCCAAGUGCAGAAACUGAGCCUGCACAGAACUGAAUGCAAGGGAAACAGCUCUGAAGUUGUGAAAGUGAGAUCUUUUCAAAUGCUGACAAAGGUAUAUGAAAUGACGGAUCACGGAGGACAAAACUGUGGGUCGGUGUGGCGAUCACACAGGGUCCCCAGACGUUUAACGGUCUAUUGAUCCCUCUGCCACCACUGUGCCCGCUUCCCCGCUGCCACCAACCCAUUACUCUCGGGUACACACUGAAUCCAGACAGUUGUUUAAAUUGAAUCAAAUAAACAAGUUUAUUUUAUAAGUAUUAACAAGUUUAUGGUUUCUCAGAUAAUAUUCUUGUCAGUUUCUUAACUUUAGUUUCUUUACCAGCCUAUACCUUCCUAAUACCUUCUGACUGAUUAUCUCAACUGUUUGACUGACUCCUCUUAACAGAUUCUCUCACUCUCCCACAUCAGAGUAGCCCAACCCACAGACUUAUUCUCUGUCCCUUCUCUAACUCCAGACUGACUUCUCAACAACUCUAACUCUAACUCCUCCCCUUGGGUUCCUAUUGGUUAGUCAUUUUACAAUUAGUUAACCCGUUCCUUAUGACCCAGUAUGAUGUCACACACCUAGGAGGGCAAACGCCACAGUCGGUUAUCUGUCUUUUCCCAUAUGAGACCUGACUAAGUCAUUAUUUUCCUUCACCUUGGUUCAAUGGUCUCAAUGCAUUUGCCAUUUUCUUCUGGUAACAUAAGCAAUACGGCCUAAUUUGGCACCCUCAGCCUAGCAUAAGUCUCAUAGUUUUUGUGUGCCUAGAGUAAGUCUUAGCCCAAGGGACACAAUGUUUAAUGUGAAAGAAAUGUGACCUAAAUCCAGUCCGUCUGUGGUCCUUAUCUUUGCAAAAAAAUAAUAAUCCUUAAAUAACCUCAAAUAAUAUUUAUGAAGUUGAAUAAAACAGGAAACUGGCAUGCACGAUGGUAAAUAUAUCAAAUGCAGGGAGGGGGAGGGGGAACCGGACUCCAAAAAGAGAAUAUGCUUAGGGUAAUUAUUAAUAGCCAGUAUCAACACUUAAAAUACUCAGUAGAUGUCAUUACCGUGUGAUAAAGAAGCACUUCCUUAAUAACAGCCUUCAGUAAAAUAAAUUAUGUGUAUAAUCAAACCAUAGUUAAGCAGUUUGAAAUGGCCUUAAUUUCGGUGGGAUGACUUGGCACAUGGAAAGUAUCUCCCCCGUCAGAAUUAAUGGCAUUUAGCAAUGCUUAACACUGUGUGUUCUGGGCAGCUAUGCUGACCUUGGUCUGGGUGGCACUAGUCAUACUGCCUCCACUCCUGGCUUGGGAGGAAAAUAGGGCUUACUUCCAGGAAACUGGGUUGCACUCCUGUUUACUCUGCACCCAGUGCCCUCCCACAGCUGCAUUUGAGAAGCGUUGUCCAUACAACAUUAGCCACAACCCCUAUUUAUCCUGCAUCCAUCCGGUCGCUUCUUACGAAACACUGUGUUUUCCUGCAUUUCCCUUGAAAACUAGCUUUGAUCAGAACUGAGAAGAAGAAUGACCUAGACUAGGUACACAUUAGUGCUUAAAAGGCCACGAGGCCAUUUCCUUCCCUCUGUGUUUCCAAGUCGCUUGCCUUGACGUUGCUACAAACUCCAGAAAGGCAUUACCUGACUUGUUUCACUGCACCAAAGUCCUCUUCAGUGAAACUGUCGCCUGCACAUGGGCAGCAGCUGUCUCAGAUGCCCAUAACUGUGGCUUCUGUUUUCAAAUCAGAUGGAAACUGGUUGGAAGGGAAACAAGUCAAUUAGCAGUAUCGGUUGUGGCUAACGCCAUGUGUACUCGGCUUCAAACACCAGUAGCGGGACUACACAGGAGCCAGAGUAAAUUGCAUACCCUCCAACAUAUCUCCGAUGAAAAUAGGAACAUCCUAUUCCAUUUGUGGGAUGUGAAACACAAGAGCAGUCAAGUAAAACAUUCCUGGAGUGAACAUGUUUACACAUAGGGAGGAAUGUUGUCCAGCCAGCAGGUAAACUUCCUGUUUCCUUCUGGGCUGGGACAGACUUCCUCUGCAUGUGACUAGAGGUGGGUGUGGCCUCACCUGUGCAGGUAACAACAAAAGCACAGGGCAGGGCAGCCAUCUCUCUCUCUUUGACUACAUGCAUCGAAGAAGCAACAUCUGCUUAGCCAAAGUUGCUGUCUUCCAGCCAAGAGAGGACAGAGGGACUGUCUCCUUAUGAGAUAGUUUCCAGGUGUAUGUUACUUUUCUAAGAUAAGUCUGCUUCUGUGAUUGAAUUGUGAACAGAAUGUGAGUAAAAUCUUUUUAUACUUUUAUAGAAGACUGUGUCGUGUCUUAUCUUUUAUGAGGGAAUAAGGGGGAAAUACCAGAACAGUUAUUAUAGAGGCUUUAGCGAGCCUGAGCAAACACAUCCGCUGUGAGUUUAAAAAGGGGGAUGUUACUCUGCUAAAUUGUGAACUUGUUAACACAAGUUGGAAAGGCUAUAAUCAAACAAUAUAUCCUCUCCUGCAUCCCUGAACAUUCCCACACCAUUAUUAUUAUUAUUAUUAUUAUUAUUAUACCCUGCCCACCUGACUGGGUUGCCCCAGCCACUCAGGGCAGCUUCCAACAUAUAUAAAAACAGAAUUAAACAUUGAACAUUUAAAAAGCUUCCCUACACAGGGCUGCCUUCAGAAGUCUUCUAAAGGUUGUAUAGUUACUUAUCUCCUGCGAUUGGGAGUCGCAUAGCUCCGUUACCCUUUCUCCAGUGAAAAUAGGGACAUCUGAAGUAAAAGCUGGACAUUCUGGGAUCAAAUAAGAAACCGGGACAGCUUCUGUAAAACCAGGACUCUUCCUGGAAAAUCAGGGCACUUGGAGAGUUUGAAAUGGUAAUAUAACACAGCCUUAACUGCGUUUUAAGUUGGCUAUGUACAGUGGUACCUCAGCUUACAGACGCUUCAGGUUACAGACUCCACUAACCCAGAAAUAGUACCUCAGGUUAAGAACUUUGCUUCAGGAUGAGAACAGAAAUCGUGUGGCGGCAGCGGGAGGCCCCAUUAGCUAAAGUGGUGCUUCAGGUUAAGAACAGUUUCAGGUUAAGAAUGGACCUCCAGAAUGAAUUAAGUACUUAACCCGAGAUACCACUGUACAGGCCUUUUUUCCCCAGCCAAAGCUCACCAGAACUGAGUUCCGGCACCUCUCAGGUGGGUGCCAUUGCCAUUCUAAGAGAAUGAGUGAAUUCAUGGUGAGUUCCAGCACCUCUUUUUGUAGAAAAAGAGCACUGGUCAUGUGUACUCAGCCUUAGUUGCACCCCACCAUUGCCCAGUUCCUUCAUUUUAAUCCCCACCUGGAUUUCUUAAAGAGCUUUCACUGUAGAAAUACCUGGGUGCUGUAGAUACCUUACAAUCCAUGAGGGUAUUUUUUUACUGCCCACGUCCUCCUGACUUUCCAUUCAAAGCCUUAUAGCCUUUUCCAUUCAAAGAGAAGUUUAAUCACUGCUAGGCAGGGGCUCAUUGAUUAAAAAUGUCACAAGUGAUGAGAAUGUAAAAGAUUGCUUCCACGCUUGAUGAAUUACACAUGCAAGUUCGCAUACGCUGCAAAAUGAAUAAAAAAUGAAAUGAAUUAGAAUCUUCUGAUGAAAUGAACAAGCCUAUAUUUGCAUGCAAAAUUUAUUAGGUGGAGGAGAUGUGCUUCCUUUUAGGAGAAACAGCAUGUGCAAAUCUUAGAAUUUACUAAAACGACCUGCACUUAUCGCUCAUUAGAGCAUACCGUCUGUACUGUUGAUGUGUGCAAACAAUUCCAACGUGUUUUAAGAAAAUGAAACUGCUCUGGCAGCUUCAAUGAGAUAUUAGUACAUCUUUUAAAUGCGUUGAUCUCACCUUUGCAGCAUAGCUGGUAAAAAGGAUUCUUUGGGGUAAUUGAGUUAUUAGCUCCUGCUCACAGCUCAAACAUACAUAUGGGGUUCUGCAAGGAUGCACACCAGGUCUAAAAAGUUUCAGGGAAGCAUUAGGGUUCUUUCAGAUUCUUAUGGGGUGGGGAGGGCAAUAGCUCAGUCAGCAUUAGAACAUACGUUUUGCAUGGAACACGUUCAUACCAUGAAAUUCCAGAAAGCUGCUGUCCACCGGUGUAAUGGUGUGGUCUGGCUUGGUUUGGCAGUGUUCUAAAUUGGCUAGGGCGCACUCUGCACAUGCUUUAGAAAAAUACCUGCUCUCAACCAAUCCCCCAUCCUGCCAUAUGCAACGCUCAUGGGGCACCGUGGCUGCCACUUGGGUAGGUCACCAAACUCUUACCCCUUUGUUCCAGCCUAUUGGCAGGCAGUGCUAAGGAUUCUUGCCUUGCCCCGGGGCUGUGGCAACCCAUGCUACACCACUGUGCUGUUGUGUACGUGUGUUUGACGGUGUAUAAUAUAUGAUGAACCCACAUGGCUGCCUGAAUUUUUGGCCUCUCCCUGGGAGUGUGGCUGUGGACUUUCUUUGGGGCAUGGCCAGGGGUGGUGUUCAAUGAUGAGCUCCUGUCCUUCAAAAUCUACUCCUACACCACUGCCAGGAAGAGCAGGUGGAAGAGAGGAAAAUGCUAAGCCCUCCCUCAUUCAUGCUUCUCUCCCUGAAGCUGAUGCUUUUUCUUCUGGUUAAGGUCCAAUACUAGAAACGGCACACAGUAGGAAAAAGAAAUACAGCUGGAGAAAGUGUUCUGUGUCGCACAAUAAGUUCCCCCACCCCUGAUAUUAAGAGUCCCGUGCUCUACCGACUGAGCUAUGUUGUGUAGGAAACCUGCACGGUUCACUUUCCGUCACUUGCGUCAUGCCACGAAAAUGUCUACGUUGCCCUAGAAUAAAACUGCUUGAACAGUGAAACUUAAAAGCUAUCUCACUGUUUUUAUGUAUUAUGGCAGAUUUCACCCAUUCCGCAAACGGGCCAGCACAGCCGCCGGCUUUUUUGACAGGUUUCAAGUGGAAUCUAAUGGUGCCCUCUAGAGGAACAGAAUUCGUAUUGAUUUCUUAUUGACAAUGAGAAUAAUGGCUAUCACUUAAUUUCUAAUCUGAAUUAGGAACAUAAAUCCUGUUUUGGCCGUUUGCUUUGCAACGAGGAAUCCUCUUCUUCGUUCCUUGAAGCGCCUGUUCAAGAGCCAGAACGUUUUGUCUUCAGCGACAUACCUGCUGUUUUGAAAACACCUUAGUUUUGAAAAUUAUCCUGCCCCUGUGAUUGCUCUGCAUGUUGAACAAGUUGUGCUGGUGAGGACAAUGUUUUUCAUGUUCUUCACAAACUAAGGCAUGAAGUAGAGUUGCCCGCUGGUUCUUGUUGCUUUUACUGCCAAAUGUGCAAAAUUACUUUUAACCUUUUUAAAUAACAAUUAAUGUCACUGUCUUUCAAACAGAACCAUGGUGAGAAAAUGCCCAAACCAAACACUCCCAAAGGAUAACAUUGUAAGCACUUCCCAGUACUUCAAUAGGGCUUUGAAGUAAAAAAAAGGUUGGAUGCUGUUUCCCCAGUGUUGUGCAGUGAUUCAUAUACACCUAUAAUAGCAAGAGACAGCUGUCUCCUAACGCAAGCAUAAAAACAUCACAUUGCCAUCUUCAGUGGGGCUGGAGGCAGAAUGCCCCAGAAUUAGAUGAAGGAUGUAGCUGACCAGGUGUGUCAAUAUUGGGGGGGGGGCAGGUAAGCCAUUUGAAUAGCAAUACCCAUCAACUUUGGAAGCCCUCUCAAAUAUUUUAUUUAGGGGGACCAGGUCACCCCCAUUGUUCAGCCCGGACACUGAGAUCCAGCGCCGAGGGCCUUCUGGCGGCUCCCUCAUUGAGAGAAGUGAGGCUACAGGGAACCAGACAGAGGGCCUUCUCGGUAGUGGCACCCACCCUUCAGAUGUGAAGGAAAUAAGUAGCUAUCUUAUCUUUAAAAGACAUCCGAAGGCAGCCCUGUUUAGGGAACUUUUUAAUAUUUAAUGCUGUAUUGUUUUUAACACUCGAUUGGAAGCUGCCCAGAGUGGCUGAGGAAACUCAGCCAGGUGAGCGGGGUAUAAAUAAUAAAUUAUUAUUAUUAUUAUUAUUAUUACUACUAAGGUUUUGGUUGCUAUGUAACUGGCUCUCCGUAUCUCAUUUCCACAAUCCCAACAGAUAACUGUUGUUGGCGUCCAUCUGUCUCAAGAGACAAUGGAAGAGUACGCCUUUGGGGGGUGAAGUCAAACUGUUGGAAGGUUGCAGCGCCUGCUGUGGCUGUAGAGACCGAUAUGGGAGAGACAUGUUUUUCUGCAGCUGGGGCAAGUGAAGGUGUCCAGUUGUGCUGGUGCAUGUGUCCCAGCAGUCAUUCCUCCUCCGGUCACUGCUAUGGAUGCACAACCCGACUGUCACUGCAGUCAUCUACAAGGGAUUCUCACAGGGCAAGGUCAAUGUUGUCAGCCUUCAUGUCCCUUUGCAUAUAUCUUUGUAGCAGAGUUGGUCUGCCAACGGGCCUGGUGCUUGAAGACAGUUCCCCAUAACAGCAUAUCCUUGGGGAUCCUGCCAUCUUCCAUUCUACUGUCAUGACCGAGCCAGGGCAUAGAUGUCGCUGAGACAGGAGUACAAACAUGCUAGGAUUGUGGGCUUGGGAGAGCACAUCUUUGUUCGAAACUCCAUCCUCCUAUGUGGUACCCAAAAUCUUCCCUGCAGAUAGCUGCCAAAGAAACAAGAGGCAAGCUAUCCUAGGGAAAGUGGCCCUCUCUGUCCGACCAUUUUGAAAAUAUAAUAGGCAUUUGUCCUUUUUUGUUUAAUUCAUGAUAUUUGUUCAGAAUUCUCCGAUGCUUUUGCUAACAAUAUCAAUUUUCUUUUCCCAAAAACCAUCCACAACUUAAUUUUCCUUGGUUAUCUUCCUUUUGUCUGUAUUUACCUCUUGUGCUCAUUGCAAUAUUUAAUUCUCAAUCUUCUCUUGUGUAUUUACUUUUCUUUAAUAGUUUUAUACAGUUUUAAGAAUACAGGCCUAUGAAUAGAUGGCAGAAAGUGAUGCAGGGAAGGGGAGGCAAAUCUGCAACUGUAAUGCAAUCUAAAUAAAUGAUGUAUCCUGCAAUAAGGAACUAUAUUAUUAAUAAGCAUGCAAAGGAGACCCAGUCCUUCAAGCAAUUAGCAUUUGUAUUGCAUCCAGGAGGUUUACCAUUUUUUAAAAAAUAGAUAAUUGCUCUUCUGGUUUUAAUUCUGCCACAUACUCCAAUCCAGACAUGGUUAAAUACUUGGUAUAAACUGCCAAUCAAAAAGUUAAAAUGUUGGUUGGUUCGUAGGCAGGCAGGUUCCUCUGUAGAAAGUUGCUCAUAUCAAGGGAGACCAGUGUGAAAAUCAGUCACUCACACAGAUCAUCACUUGGAAUAGAAGGAUUUAGAAAACAGAAUUUGGGACCCCCGGUUUAGUUAGAUGGAUUCCAGUUCUCUUUUCCCUCACAUAAAAAGGAGCUUUGUAGCUACAAAUGAAGAAAAUGCAGCGGGCAGGGGAAGUACCAAUCAAAAAAAAAAAAAAAGAUUGCCUUUAUCCAUCCAUCCCUUCUCCAGUGCUUUCCUGAAAAACCUCUUCAGAACUUCAUGAGCUUUAAUAUGAUAUGGAACAUGAUGGACACAGCAGCAUAUAAAACAAACCGCAUAGUAUCCCCGGCUAACGUUUCAUCUAUUGCAAUCACCUAUCCUUAAAAUGGGACGUGGGUGGCGCUAUGGGUUAAACCACAGAGCCUAGGACUUGCCGAUCAGAAGGUCGGUGGUUCGAAUCCCCGCGACAGUGUGAGCUCCCAUUCCUCGGUCCCUGCUCCUGCCAACCUAGCAGUUCGAAAGCACGUCAAAGUGCAAGUAGAUAAAUAGGGACCGCUCCGGCGGGAAGGUAAACGGCGUUUCCGUGCGCUGCUCUGGUUCACCAGAAGCAGCUUAGUCAUGCUGGCCACAUGACCUGGAAGCUGUAUGCCAGCUCCCUCGGCCAAUAAAGCGAGAUGAGCGCCGCAACCCCAGAGUCAGCCAUGACUGGACCUAAUGGUCAGGGGUCCCUUUACCUUUACCUUAUCCUUAAAAUACUCCCCAAUUUUCUACUUUCUAUUCUGAGUGAAACCCUUCUCUUCUAAACACGUUAUUUAACAGAGUUGGCCUUUGUGAGCGUUGACAAAAGGUGCAUCCAAUAGACAACGCAUGUGUCAGAGCUGGCUCCAGGUCCCAGCUCACAGAGGACCAACGCUAGCCGGCAGUAAUGUACAAAAGUCUUUAUUGAAGUACAGUUUCCAUUUUCAAGCCGGAGCGCCCCAGCUCUACGUCUAGGGGUUAGAUCGGCGAAGCUCCAUCUGAGUCUCCGCCCCCUGUACACCAGUUUAAGAUUCUAGCCUUACUCCACCUCUUACGUCUCUCCUUUCUCCUCUGGGUCCUGCUACCCCCCGGGGGGGCUUCCUUCCUGGGUUCUUCUGACGCUGACCCCCUGACUCCUCCCCUCUUUUCGGCGGGCUUUGGGACCUGGCUCCCUAUCCGGGCUGCCAACUGCGCCGCCCUCCUGUACAUUUGAACUUGCGCGCGCGCCCAGCCUUCAACCUUCCUCUCAACCGCUUCCUCGCUCCCCGAUGGAGGCGUGGCCAAUCCUGACUCAUGUCCUCCCACUGGCAGUGCGCCGCCUGAUCCCGAUGCCUGGGACUCCUCCCCUUCUGCACUCUGGUGUGGACGCUGGUCCUGAUUUCCAACUGCUGCUCUCUGAGUCCCCUCUGGCCCCUUCUUCCUGGGGUGUCCCCUCGGCACCCCCUUGCUCUGACCAAGGGAGCCCUUUCUGUGAAUCUUCCGAUUCGCUGGAAAGACUCAGAGACCUCGGACCGCUGUCAUCGCUAACAUUUCCUUCGGACUCCUCCCCCUCGCUCUCUAUUUCCUCCCUUUCCUGUGCCUCUGCUCCUGAACCCCUGACAGCAUGGUUUUUAAUUCGACUGCAACCUGCCACAGAAUGUUCCAGCAUGCAAUGCCCUUGUUCAGUGUUGCUGCCAAUCAGCCAUGCCUUCCUCUUCCGGAAUACUCCAUUCCACAACCACCCCAACUGUCAAUCAACAUUCCGUGACCAUGGAAACAUGCUCAUUCCUCAUUGGAGUAUUUGAGGGGAGAAGAGGUUCUCUUCAUUCUGCUCACCCAAGAUUUUUGGUACUUCUGCAAAUUUAAGAUUCCCCUGAGCAUGUUGAUACGUCCCUCAUGUCCAUAGGCAGUCCAAUUUUGUCUACGUAAGAAUAGGUGCUCAGGGACUGCAUCCACUAUUUAUACAUAGCAUGAUUUUGUCUCUAGGAGGGGAAAAAAGUGUGCUGUAUCAACAUUCAUGUGUCAUUCUUUGCAGGAGUGUGGCAAGGUAGUCUGAAGGUUAAAAAGAAAAAAAUCUGCAAAAACCUGAUUUUCUAAUGAAUCCAGAAUCUUGGGUGCACAGUGAGUACAGAGUCCCUUUGAAAAUCAAUCUUUAAGAGACCAAAAGGGGGGGAAAGGUUCCCUAGCCAAACAUUUGUGCUGUUAGAAAUGUCUCCUUUUGCAGAACGCCAGAGUCAGAUGUGUAGCUCGAUGGCAAGGAGAAGGGGGGUAUCAGGCGAUCUUCUUUCAUGUAUUUGUAUAGGCUGCUUUUCAGAAAUCCUGUUUUGAUUAAAGCAAAUACAGAUGAGUUGUCAUAGAAUAUACUUUUAAUAGAACAAAUAAGGAGGUGAGAAUCAACAGCAUUUACCCACAUAAAGAUACUCUGCAAACGUUCCUCGCAAGCAUCGCCUAUGCAUAGAAAUUUGAUUUGUAAUAGAAUUGCUUAAAUUAAGCCUUGAUUUCAAGCAGAUAGCAUAAGAGGAAAGAGACUAGUCCGAGCUGCUAAAAAAAAAGUGGUGUCUGUUUAAAUUUUAGCGAUCUCACACUGUCUUGGGAGAAAUCAAACGAUAUUGACUUUUUCUCUCUUACAUGUUGCACAGAGACUCACUAUGCACAGGCAUAUAUUAGCCUCUUCAGGGUUUAUUCAUGUAUGAUAUGCAGACAGUGUGCCCUGAAUAACUGAGACUGUUAGCAGCAUGGCUACACUACAGCCUUUUAGCAUUUUAACAGUCGUGUCCUCUCCCCGUGAAAUCUUCCUAUUGUAGUUCUUCUUUGAGGGACGACAGACAGUUCCUAGCACUGUCUGCAAGAUUAUUUGGGGGAAGCAAAGACACAAAACUGAUAUGGGUUCAUAGCUGAGAUAUGAUCUAGCGAUACUUUCACAAAAACAGGUUUGUGGAUAAUCAGAGUGCCAAUUACUCCCCCCCCCAUAAGGACCCAACCAUAUGAUAUUGUUGCACACCAGCCCAGUCUCCACAGGGGUUCCUGGCAUGCUUUGCCCUGGGUUUGUAUUUCCUUUUAGAAAAUGAGGCACAGCGGAGACUGUAGUGUCUUUAUGAUCAUAGAAUUGUAGAGUCAAGGGUCAAUGAGUCCAAUGCCCUCCAAUGCAGGAAUCUCAGCUAAAGCAUCCAUGACAGAUGGCCAUCCAACCUCUGCUUAAAAACCUCCAGAGAAGGAGAGUCCGCGACCUCCUGAGGGAGACUGUUCCACUGUCGAUCAGGUCUUACUUUCUGAUGUUUAGUCAGAAUCUCCUUUCUUGAAGUCUGAAGCCAUCUUCCAUGUGAUAGCCCUUUGGGCAUCAUUCAGCAGUACCCAAUGGGCCUUUAAAAGAAAAAGAAAAAGCAGCUCAGAGGCUCUGUUCAAGUACAUACAGUGGUACCUCAGGUUACAUACGUUUCAGGUUACUGACGCUUCAGGUUACAGACUCCGCUAACCCAGAAAUAGUACCUCAGGUUAAGAACUUAGCUUCAGGAUGAGAACAGAAAUUGCACGGCCGCAGCAGGAGGCCCCAUUAGCUAAAGCGGUGCUUCAAGUUAAGAACAGUUUCAGGUUAAGAACAGGCCUCCGGAGCGAAUUAAGUACUUAACCCGAGGUACCACUGUAUUGCCAGUCCAGACAUGAUCUGCACCAAUUUCCUUCUGAAAAUUGUCCCUGCUGCGAUUUCUCCCCAAAUUUGCUGACCAUCAACAGCACCCUCAGGGACAAGAGUCAGGGGGGUGCUCCUCAACAGGAAAUUGGUGCAAGACCUCAACCUAGACAAGGAGCAUGUUUCUGGAUUGGGAUCCUGCAGUUGCUUUUUCUUAAGAAUAAAUGGAGCCAGUUAAGACAGUUUUUUAAUAAACAUCAAUCAUGCAACAUGCAGUUUGCCCCUAAGACAUUAAAGAAAAGCCAGAAGAUUGUUAAGAAGGGGAAACCACAAUCUCCUUGUGGUGACUUGCCUGUGGUUCCUGGGACAUCUGCUCCUGAAAUGUCAUUAGCCCCAUGAUUUGGCAAGGCUGUCAAAUUCUUCAUACUUGGUGUGGGACAGAUUUCCCCUCAUAAAACUUAGCUCUCUGGUCUAACCACUUGGUUCAGAAGUAGCCAACAUGUUGCUCUCCAGGUCUGCAGGACCAUAACUCCCAUGAGCCCCAUCUAGCAUACCCAAUGGGCAGGGAAGAUGGGAUUAGUAGUUCAGCAAUGACUAAGUUGCCCCUGACGUAGUUCAGCCUCUGGCCUGACCGUUCAUGCUUUGUUGUAAGAUUACUGUAAACUGCUUUGACAGGUUGCCUACAUCUGAAUAGUAAUAUAUAAAUGUUUACUUGCUUGGAAAAGGACCGCUCCCCUUCCAAUAGCUGCUUGUCGAUAUGGGUGAUCAGAAUCAGCACAGGAAACAUACCAAAAUUUGUGACAGUAACUCUAAAUUCCUGCAACAAGAAAUACAUCUUUAAUUGGAAUGGGGUCCUUAGUAUGUUCCUAAGCUGCCACUUGAUGUUCUCUGGGUUCCUAUCUACUGACGAAUUUUUACUGUUUCCACAUUUGGCAUCAUGCAUUUUAUAUCAGAGAGUGUCUGUCAGGUUUUGUUUUGUUUUAAUAGAAAAAGUACAUUCUCUAAGGCUGUUAAAAACCUGUGAAAGAAAAUAUUAUUCUGCACAUCCCUGAUAGCAAAAUCGCCAUUGCCUAGUCUUCGUACUAAGAAUUCAGUGAGACGCAGUAAGAAAUCAAUAAAAACACAAAUUGCUCCAUCAAUACGUGCAUUCAUUUAUACUCUUCAAGGUUAUCUUUGCAAUGUUGGUGCAGAGACGCAUUUUCUCUGUCAUGCAUAUUAAACCAGGCAAAGAGUUAUGGAAAGGGAACCCAAUCUAUCAGAACAAAUCUAGUCUAGCAUACACAAUAGAUAGGUGGAGUGGGUUUCGUUUCUCACCCCCUCCUCCCUGCCCUUUUUAGCUGGAUGUAGCUAAUAUUUUGAAAUGUGCAAGGACCGUUUUAUCAGUACAGUACUUCUAAGCCACUUUCAUCUACAUUUAUAAUCAAUAUGUCCCAAGGUUGACGUGCUAUUAGCAGGCAAUGGGUCCAUAUUCAUUUUAACCACUUACCAUGCCAAUUGCCACAGGAUUUACUCUCCCGAUGUGAAUGAAUUUCCCCCAGCAGCUCACUCUUGCACAAGAGUUUUCCCUAUGCACAAAAUAAAAGGGGAAUCAGGCGACCCUUAUCUCUGAGCAUUCACCUUGGCCGAAAGAGAGUGACUGGAAAUCAACUCUCUCACCAAAGAAAACACCGCAUUACGGGAGGAGAAAAGGCAGCUGCAUCCAUUGUUGGGAGGAGUGAUGCAAAAAUAACCUCUUCUCAUCUCUAGCUGUCAAAUUUUGAAGGGAGGAAAAUGACAAGUAUUCACACAUUCAUACUAAUUUCAGCCUAGAGCCUGCUAGACAUUGGAUUUGGGGCUGGUUCGUGUACCCAGUAGCUUCCACACUACUGUCCCCAAUAUUAUUCCAGGUCACCAGGGUCACAGCUGGUAGGAACCGAUGCCCCCAUUGUGACCACUGAGAUUUGCAUAAAUAUGGUGGCUUAGAAAAAGGAGCAUCAUGGCAGAUACAUGGGUGCUCCCAACUUGGAGGCUCAUUAAAUGGGAGGCCCAGUUCAAUCAAAUGACACUUGUGUGUGCAGUGGUCCAGUUAGAUUUUGUUAAACCCUGGAUUUAGGAACAUAGUAAGGUGCCUUAUACCAAGUCAGAACCAUGGGUCCGCCUAAUAAUAAUAAUAAUUUAUUUAUACCCCGCCCAUCUGGCUGGGUUUCCCCAGCCACUCUGGGCGGCUUCCAACAGAAUAUUAAAACACAAUAACCUAUUAAACAUUAAAAGCUUCCCUGAACAGGGCUGCCUUCAGAUGUCUUCUAAAAGUCUGGUAGUUGUUUUUCUCUUUGACAUUUGGUGGGAGAGUGUUCCACAGGGCAGGUGCCACUACCGAAAAGGCCCUCUGCCUGGUUCCCUGUAACUUGGCUUCUUGCAAUGAGGGAACCGCCAGAAGGCCCUCGGCACUGGACCUCAGUGUCCUGGCAGAACGAUGGGGGUGGAGACGCUCCUUCAGAUAUACUGGACCAAGGCCUAGUAUUGUCAGUGCUGAUAGGCCAUAGUUUUCCAGGAUUUCAGACAGGAAGCCUCUCCCAGCCCUCCCAGUUCUAACUGGAAAUGACUCUGAGACCUUCUGCAAUCAAAGCACAGAGCUGUGGCCCUUCCUAUAACGGUGUUUCUCAGCCUUGGGUCGCCAUCUGUUGUUGGACGACUGCACCCAUCAUCCCUGACCACUGUCCCUGCCAGCUAGGGAUAAUGGGAUUUGUCGUCUAACAACAACUGGAGACCCAAGAUUGAGAAACAGUACUAUAAGACUUAAUGGUCUUACAGGGGGCACUUCUUUAGAUAGCAUUGCUUGCAUAGCUCGAAAUGUAAUGUCAGGCUGCUGGUUAAAAUUGCACUGCUCAUCCCCCUGUGUGGGACCCUACCCUUUGCCCCCAAAGUCCUGCCCUGCUAGCAUCUCUGGCUGUGUGUCCAACCACAAACCAAGUAAUAGCCCCAUAGAUUCCAGCCAGUGAUAGCUUGAUAGCUGCAUAGGCAAACCAGAUAACCGACAUAAACAGCUAAGAAUCUCCCAAUACGUAGUCUGGUUUUUCGGGGUUAGAUGUUCUCAGUAUUUAGUUCAUAUGCAGGCAACUCCCCAUUUACACAGGGGUUAUGUUCCAAGGCGCUGUGCACGUCAGUGAAAUUGCGUAUAUUUGAAACACCAUUGAAAAAACCUGCCAACGUCCCGCCUCUGCCUGCCCCAUUCCACCCGUUUUUGUGACUUUUUGUGAUGUUUUUAGGUCACUUCCAGGUCAGAGUUGCGCGCAUGACAUCAUAAGUACGCGCAGUCGCCCUCCCCAUGUUAGGCAGAUCUUGGCACUUCUGGUCUGAAUGACACAUUCAGAACUCUGCCUGGCCUGUGAUCUUGUAUCCAGUGAGGGUUAGAAUCUAGUACCAGGGCGUCCAAACUUUUUUCAAAGAGGGCCAGAUUUGAUGAAGUGAACAUAUGUGAGGGCCAACCAAAGUUGUUGAGCUUUUUCUAGGAUUUAACUUGCUGAGCUUUUUUUAGGAUUUUACCCCAGGACUUAUACUGCCACGGGGGCCGGAUUAAAUCAGAUUAGGCCCCUGAAACGGACUUUGGACAUGCCUGAUCUAGUAGAAGAGGAUACUGAAUGACAAGUUUCUCUGUAAGUCAAUGGCCUUAGCUGGCCACUUAAGUGCUCUCAUCAGCAGCUCAACGGAUGAGCUAGGCUGCAAUAGCUACAAGAACAAGAAGCCAAAGGGAGGCUGGAAGCUGGAGAUGCAAUGACAUGUUUGCUCUGUGCUGGACUUUUUGGGCUCCCCUGGAAACCUAAAGGGGAAGCAAAAUCUAUGAGAGGGUCAGUGUCAUGAGCUCCUCCAUCCAAUGCUCAGGUUGUAUAUAUGUGUAAAUAAAGCAAUAUAUCCUAAAAGCACCACAGUCUCUGCUGACCUUUAUUCCAAGGAAACCAAACCCGAGGUAAGCACUUGAAACCCAUAGAGCAAGCAUGGCCAAACUCGGACCUCCAGAUGUUUUGGGACUACAGUUCCCAUCAUCCCUGACCACCGGUCCUGUUAGCUAGGGAUGAUGGGAGUUGUAGUCCCAAAACAUCUGGAGGGCCAAGUUUGGCCAUGCCUGCCGUAGAGUCUCUCACCACGCAGAGAUUGGGGUGGCAUUUAACAGUAUCUACAGUUCUGUCGGGACGCGGGUGGUGCUGUGGGUUAAACCAUAGAGCCUAGGGCUUGCCGAUCAGAAGGUCGGCGGUUCGAAUCCCCGUGACGGGGUGAGCUCCCAUUGCUCUGUCCCUGCUCCUGCCAACCUAGCAGUUCGAAAGCAUGUCAAAGUGCAAGUAGAUAAAUAGGUACCGCUCCGGCUGGAAGGUAAACGGCAUUUCCGUGCACUGCUCUGGUUUGCCAGAAGUGGCUUAGUCAUGACCCAGAAGCUGUACGCCGGCUCCCUCGGCCAAUAAAGCGAGAUGAGCGCCGCAACCCCAGAGUCAGUCACGACUGGACCUAAUGGUCAGGGGUCCCUUUACCUUUACCUUUACAGUUCUGUCUGAGAAACAACUGGAGCCAGUGAUGCAAUAUGUUUCCAGAAGCCCAACAUUAUGAAUAAUGAACUUGUGGUCCAUGCUGAAAACAGUAUUAUAUUAAAGCUAGAGUCACACAGAUACCUUGGCUACAAGAAAUGUUUCACUAUCAGGCUGGGAGAGUGAUUUGCUUGUUUGUUUCUGUGUACCGACUGCAAAAUUUGGAGGUGUUUCAUCCCAUUCGAGGGUACCUUCAUCAUGUAACAGGUUUUGUUGUUUUGGGGCAUUCAGUAUGGAAAUGGCCUUGUUGCAAUUACUAUAAUGAUCUAGCAACCUCUCCCUUGUAUUUCGAGUUUUGAGCCAGCAGAGGAACCAUAAAGCAAUGUGAUUAACUCUGAUUGUAAAACGCCCUCCACAUAACAAAGAUAUAAAUUAUUGGCUCUCUUAACAACUGCAAAUCACUCUUAUCUAGCAGCAUUACAAUGUAUUUGCCUGCAGUUUGACUUUUGUGGGCUAUUAUCCGCCUGACCUUGUGUGUGCAACACCAGCGCUAUGUUCCUUCUUCUAGCGCUCAAAAAACAUGCGUUCUUCCAUUGCUAGUCGGAUCAUGAGUGCUUUUGCCUGCUAACUGCCUACUCCUGAGAAUCUUGAUCAGUUAACAGGUGUUAAAAUAAGUUACAUGCACCUAAUGGAACAGAGGAAACUACUUUGAGUAACAAGCACAUUUUUUGUUGGUUUUUGCUGAAACAGGCCCCAUUGCUAUAAGGUGGGCCAAUAUUUUUAUACCCAUAUUGCAGAUGGAAAACUGAGGUUGUCAAAGGGCACCUAGGCUGCAAUCCUACACCAACCUAUCCACUUGCCUUCAGCAGGACUUACAUUUGAAUAGACUUGCAUAGGGGUGCACUGCUAGACUGCAUUCCUGUAUACACUCACUUGAGAGAAAGUCAUAUUUAAGGCAAUGGGGCUUCCCUCUGAGCUAGCAUGUAGAGCAAUGGUGGCCAAACUCGGCCCUCCAGAUAUUUUGGGACUACAAUUCCCAUCAUCCCUGACUACUGGUUCUGUUAGCUAGGGGUAAUGGGAGUUGUUGUCUCAAAACAUCUGGAGUCUGGCCACCACUGAUGUAGAGACUUGCCCUGGCAGCUGAAAUUUUAAACCUUGUUAAGGGUCAUGAACACAGUAAGACUUGCUCCCAAGUAAAAAUGAACAGGACUGAGGUGUUAGUUAGCCUGUGACAGUGGCAAGUUUCAAAGAAAAUGGACUUUCUCAGUGUCUUAAAGGGCAAUCCUUUGCCUGUCUACUCAGAAGUACCAUAAACUCAAGUAUAAGCCGACCCGAAUAUAAGCCGAGGCACCUAAUUUUACCACAAAAAACUGGGAAAACUUAUUGACUCAAGUAUAAGCUGGUUCACCACACCACAAACCUGGUGGUGGCGGCAGCGGCGGAGGGCUGCUCGUUCCUCCGCCACCGACAGCGGCAAAGGCAGAGGAGGAAGAAGGAGCAGCCCAAAAGAACCCUCACUCGAGUAUAAGCCGAAGGGGGCUUUUUCAGCAUAAAAAAUGUGCUGAAAAAGUCGGCUUCUACUCGAGUCUAUACGGUAAAUGCCACUAUGUUCUUUGGAACUUACUCCCGUGUAAGCAUGCAUAGGAUUGCAGCCUUAGCCAAUAUGCUACACCAGGCCUCAAUAUAAUACAAGAGGAAGUCAAAGCAACGUUGAGGCUGGCACAAGGUAUAAUAUCAAGCAUAAAGACCAUAUUACAGUGGUAAGUAGUGAAUCUCGAAACUCUUAUUGGCUUUUUAUGGCUAUCACUUAUGUGGUCUGCAGCUUAGAAUUAUUUUUCUGCUGCACUUUAACAAAGUGAUUUGUAUGAUGAAGGGCUUUUACAUCAGUGGAGGAGGAGAAAUGAUGGAACUCUUAACUGGGAUAGGGUUAUAUUCAGCUGGAAGCUUACCAGCUGCACUGAGAGUACAGUAGAAAUUAAGACCAUCUCAGAGCUAAGAUUAUGUAGUUUAUGUUCAUGCAAACUUACUCUUGCACACCAGCCCAAUCUCCAGGUGGUACAAGAUUCCAGACAUGCUUACCCAGAGUUCGUGAUUCCUUUUGGAAAUGAGGCACAGCAGGGAGUGUGGCGUCUUUAUGAUAUAUGGUUUAUUUACACAUAUAGACAGCCUGAGCCUACAAUGGAGGGGUUCACAGCAUUAAACACCCCCAAGAGGGUCUUGCUUCUCCCACAGCUGCAGUCCUGGAUCUCAGCAAAUAUCAGGCAUGGCUCUGACUCUCUCCCUUCCCAGCUUGCUACUUUUGCAUCCAGCUUCUAGCCCACAUAACUCAAUUCUGGUCUUUUGUCUUUCUAAGUAACAGACCAUUGAGGAGGGAAGGCUUACCCAUUGGCCCUCUGGCACACAGCCACUCCUUUUGUUCCCUUAACGACCCAUAUUUAGCAGGCCAUUACCAGGCUGACUUGGCUAUUCCAGAAAUUGAAUCUGUGCUGGAACUAGGAAUUAGAAGUAGUGCUCAGGAAUACAGCCUACCUCCCCUCAAAAACUCAACACUAUUAACAGUGCAGUCUGAAGCACAUCUGCUCAGAAAUAAAUCCCAGUGGCUUUAACAGCCAUGCAAGUCUGCCUAGGAUUGCAGCCUCAUUUAACGCCCUGUAUUCUUCCUAGCACGGGUGGCGCUGUGGGUUAAACCACAGAGCCUAGGACUUGCCAAUCAGAAGGUCGGCAGUUCGAAUCACCCGACGGGGUGAGCUCCUGUUGCUCGGUCCCUGCUCCUGCCAACCUAGCAGUUCGAAAGCAUGUCAAAGUGCAAGUAGAUAAAUAGGUACCGCUCCGGCGGGAAGGUAAGCGGCGUUUCCGUGCGCUGCUCUGGUUCGCCAGAAGCAGCUUAGUCAUGCUGGCCACAUGACCCGGAAGCUGUACGCCGGCUCCCUCGGCCAAUAAAGAGAGAUGAGUGCCACAACCCCAGAGUCAGCCACGACUGGACCUAAUGGUCAGGGGUCCCUUUACCUUUACCUUUAUUCUUCCUGGCACUCAGACCGUGUCCCUUAAUUCCUUGAUUCCCUGGGCUGCAUCCUACAGGCAAUUGUGCAAGGUACAGGGCUUUUGCAAGCAUGAGAGAGGAAGCUUACACUAGGUAUCCUCAUCAGUAUGAGUUAAACUUGAAAAGGAAGAUUCAGGUAGGUAGCCGUGUUGGUCUGAUCUGACGCAGUCAAAAUAUAUCAAAAAAAUUGUCCAGUAGCACCUUAGAGACCAACUAAGUUUGUUCUUGGUAUAAGCUUUCGUGUGCAUGCACACUUCUUCUGAAGAACUUAGUUGAUCUCUAAGGUGCUACUGGACAAUUUUUUUAUUUUUUGAAAAGGAAGAGUUCACCAUUGGUUUUGAAAAACAGCUAAACUAAGUUCUUGUUCCCAGGGGAUGGUUGUGCUUCAAUUUGCUCCAGCCGGAGAGGUGGCCAGUCUCCAUGGGAUGGAUGACUUCUCCUGCCUCCUCUAACAGCCCUCUGUGUUUGUUAUUUUCCUUUGGCUUCUUUGGGAACCUACUACAGAGGACACAAAGCUGUGUGUCCAUUGCUUUAUUCACCUCAAUGGAGGCAAGAGAUCAGUACACUAAUCUGAUCAUGAAUAUCAGAGGAUGAACCUCACGGACGUCGCUGGCAGACUUUCAUCAAUUUUAGUGGCUGCAAAUUGCAUCCAGAGGGAAUAUUUACGGUAUGUUAUUUAAUUAUACUUAUAUCCUUAUAAUUAUACUUAUAUGUGGAAGAGCAGGGAGCCAGUGUGGUGUAGUGGUUAAGAGUGGUAGUCUCGUAAUCUGGUGAACUGGGUUCACUUCCCCGCUCCUCCACAUGCAGCUGCUGGGUGACCUUGGGCCAGUCACACUUCUUUGAAGUCUCUCAGCCCCACUUACCUCACAGAGUGUUUGUUGUGGGGGAGGAAGGGAAAGGAGAAUGUUGGCCGCUUUGAGACUCCUUCAGGUAGUGAUAAAGCGGGAUAUCAAAUCCAAACUCUUCUCUUCUUCUUCUUCCUGCCUUUUAGAUAAUUUUGAUAUAUCCAAGGAAGUCUAGGAAUUGAAGUCUGUUGAGGGAGCCACGUUCCCUAGUCUCCCACCCAUGCUACAGUUCCAGGAUGUCUUGUGGAGAGAGAAUAGCUGCUAAACCAUGCUUAGUCCAAUGCUGUCACAAACAUGGUGCCCAUGUUUGCGCAUGAGCCCAUAGAAACAUUCCCUGUCACUUAUUGGGUCCAUACCAGAAAGAAGCAACCUAAUAUAAUAGGUUGUGGUGUGUGCUUGGUUACAGACAGUGUAGGCUGGCUCCUUUGAUUGCCCCACCAACCUUAGUUUACUCUCCUACUAACCCCCCACCUGCUGCUUUCUUACUUAUAAGCAGUCAGGGGGUGGUUCUGCCUGUCAUUGUUUCUGGCUUAAUCUACUGUUGGCCUGCCUGGCUUCUGACCUACCAGCAGCAGCCACCAUGUGUGUAGCACCCAAAACAAUUUCUCCACUUUGCACACAUGCCCAGUGGCCCAAAAAGGUUGGCAACCCUGCACUGGAUCCACAGGAAAGGAAACGUGGGCGACAAACAGAUGCAGCUUGGACUCUUAACAGGCAUAGCUAAAAUGUGGCUCCACGAGAGCAACGGGUGGUAUGCCAAUGAAUUUUCACUCAGAGUAGAUAAAAUUGAAAUGAAUGGAGCUAAGUUAGUCAUGUUCAUUCAUUUCAGUGGAUCUUUUCUGAGCAGGACUACCCUGUGUUGGCCUUUCUUCUAACGCAUACCAUGCCAAACUUCAUCCUAGCCGGCAUUUUUAAAAACCCAACAUUUCAGAGGUAAUGAAUGACCCAGUAGAUCCAUUUUCAAGGACGUUUCCCGACUAUCAAUUUUUCCGCACCUUGGUAUCGCAUCAGAAAUGCCAAAGAAAUAGAAUUGCUGAUGAUCAAGCCAGACAGCAGCAAUCAAUCUCCAUACACUGGUUUGCAUAGCAUUUUCAGAUAUUUUCAAACCGAGCCGUCUGGUUUAAAUUCUUGGCAAAGUCACAAUAAGAAGAGUACUUAGUGUUUGUAUAGCACAUUUCAAAUGCUGCAAGUGCUUUACUCACAUUAUCUAAGUAAUCCUGACAGCAGUCCUGUAAGGUAGGCUACUGUUGUUGCUAUCUCUCUUAGGUAACUGGGGGGCAGGGAAGGGCAGGAGGAGUCUACAGCGUUGUCUGUGCAUGCACUGUUGGGAUGCAGCCAAGGAAUUGGGGGCAAAUGGCAGACCCCCAGCUGGCUCCAGCCCACUGGCCGGUGCGCCGGGCGAUCUCCAGUCCUUGGUGCAGCAUCAGUGACUCGAGCAUCAGAAGCUAGAGCACGCUACUCAGCAGAGUAAACACUACGCAACAGAAGUGGCAGGGAGAGGCUGUGAUGAGCAUAUUUACAAGCAGUUUAUUCAGCAUACAUCGGGACAAGAGGUAAACAUGUCUUCUCUUCUUCGGGUCCAAGCAAGCAGCUAAAAGCGAAAGCUAUACACAAACGGGUGGGACGCGGGUGGCGCUGUGGGUUAAACCACAGACUUGCCGAUCAGAAGGUCGGCGGUUCGAAUCCCCGCGGCAGGGUGAGCUCCCGUUGCUCGGUCCCUGUUCCUGCCAACCUAGCCAUUCAAAAGCACAUCAAAGUGCAAGUAGAUAAAUAGGUACCGCUGCGACGGGAACGUAAACGACAUUUCCAUGCGCUGCUCUGGUUCACCAGAAGCGGCUUAGUUAUGCUGGUCACAUGACCCAGAAGCUGUACGCCAGCUCCCUCGGCCAAUAAAGCGAGAUGAGCACCGCAACCCCACAGUUGGUCACGACUGGACCUAAUGGUCAGGGGUCCCUUUACCUUUUUAUACACAAACGGAAGUUCCCAGCAAGCUGUGCUGGGGUGUAAACAGGCAUGUGACACACAACAGUCAUGCCUGUACUUAAGGUGGAACAGAAUAUCCUAACAUGCACAACCCCCUCCCCAAACCCAUGGGGAUUGAGGCUAGGCAUGAAUGCUCCCCUUAUGCUGAUCAUGAACUCUGGAAGUGGAGAUCAGCACAUAGGCAUGAGCUCACAGCCACAGGGGCUUGGUAUUUGGGCUGAAGGGAAGCAAGCAACCUGCCACUGAAGGGCAGUGGCGGAACAUAUGCCCGCACUUCUCAGGGCAGGCAUGCUCCCAAGGGGUGCGUGGCAUGGAGGGUGCCUGUGCUGGUCCUGUGGGCUACCCGAGAGACGAGGUCCAAGUCCGGUUUGUGGUCAAAGGUGCAACAUGGAGGCCGUCUGUAGUAGCUGAAGCUGGGUGCAGGGCAGGGAGUCGGGUGAAGUCAGGAACAGGCUUGCAAGCAGAGAGCCAGGGCGGGUCAGGAGCUCCGGCAGAAAAGCAGAACAGGGUUCAGGCAGGAACUAGCAACCAACAAUGUUGCUCCUGCAACUUGGGACUGGGGCUGGCUGGCUUUUAUCUGCCCCGAGGCAUGGGGCAGCCCCGAUCCUCUGGUGACUCGCCUCUCCUGGCCUGGAGGCGAGCACUCCUCCUGUGGGAACUUAGUUCCCCCCGCCUCUCUGCCCUGAGCCUCUGCAGCUCAGGAGAGGGUUACCAGACCCAGAGGCAACCUCAGCUUCCUCUGACGGGGCUGAGAGUGGAGCACCUGCAGGCAAUGGGUCCUCCAUCACCUCAGGAGCCAGAGCAGACUCAGCUGGUGCCUGCACCUGAGGAUCCAGCACAGGUGAGGACCCUUCAGGCUCAUGCCCCAGCCCCGGCUCAGCUGGUUCUGGAGGCAGGGAAUCCUGUGCAGGCUGGGAUCCCUCAGGUUCAGCAUCCGAGUCCAAAUCCCAGGCCAUCACACUGCCCUCCAGGCAUGGGAUAGGCGCUUGGGUGCCUGGAGCGGCGCAUGCACCCUGCAGCCGGGAGUGGAGCGAGCCGCCCAUGAUGAACGUUCAGUGCACACACAAACACCCCCCGCGACUCCCAAGCCUCCCCCAGGCUGCCAAAACGAAGGGGGAAGGGAGGGAAUGCUGUUGGCAAAGCGGUGCAACUCCUGCCCCAUACCCCAACGGCUCGGGGUAGGCUUGGGAGUCACUGGUGGGCAGCAUGCCGAAUGUCACCCCACUCAGUGAGGGCACCCAGGGCGGUCUGCCCCCCCCUUCCUAUGUCCCUGCUGAAGGGCUGUCUAUGGAUCUCCAAGCCUUUCUGAUUCACUUUUUCCUCUGUAGGAUUCCUUAUGGUGCAAGGCAGACUGCAGGAUGCAGUGGAGGGGAAAGGGCUCUGGUGUGCAAUUGGAGCUCCUUCUUCCGCAAGAUUCCCUGCAAAAAGAUCAAAGGAGAGGGAGAGAUGUCUCAGCAGCAAGUUCCUUGCAAAAAUAUAAAAAGUGCCCGUGCAUUGUGCAACGGCGCGCAUAUUGUUUUGGGGGAUGCAAUGGCAUUUUGCAUCUUGAGACUUUGAGGAAGUGUGAGGCAGAGCUUGCAGGACAGCUGUGCGUUGACACUGCUUGUGUUCCCAGGGAUUGCAGUUUUUGUUCUGUUUGUUGGCCUUUUGCAUAGCCAAGGCAGAAAAGGGGUGUUGGAUAACUUGUCAAAGAAACUCUGAAUAAAAUAUCUCAUUUAUGGCCACUGAGACACAUCGCAGGUGAACAUCACAUCAUGAGUUAUUCAUCGUCUUUUGCCAGGCCUGAAUACAUCUACUCAGUUGUGGGCACUGACCCUUUGAGGACCACUGUUUCAUAUCUGAACCAGUACCAUAUGUCUGGUUUAUUUAGAACUGGCCACCUUCCUUAACAACGCUAUUCUUUUUACUGAUAAUCCAGAAUACAUGCACAAAUCCCUUAAUUAAAUCAAGUGAGCGACAGAGAAGAUAAUGCAAUAAUGAGUGAACACAAUCAUAGCCUUGAGCCACUCUGUAAGUAAAAAUUACUAAAAGCAAUUAAAACUGUGUCACCUGCAUUUUACUUUGUUUUAUUUGGGAAUGACAUUCUGGAGGCUAUCAUUUCAAAAUCCAUAGGCAUGCAUUGUGAUAUCUGUUUUCAUUUUUGUUUUUCCUGUGACUUUACUAAGGCAAAUAUGAAAUACAUUUCAAAAUAGAGCUAUCAACUCAUUUUCUACUAAUUAUAACUGCCAAGUGGUUCAGUAAAUGCAACUCACUAUUUUUCUUCACACACACACACACACACAUUUGGGUUGAAGCUUUCUGAUGUUCGCCAGGUGAAUUCCAUGCAUAAUGUAAGACAGGCAAUGCUGUUUGCAUAAUAAGCUAUUUUCUAC
rnacentral:lncRNA from 1 species